rnacentral:misc_RNA from 1 species
GAAAUGCGAUAAGUAAUGUGAAUUGCAGAAUUCAGUGAAUCAUCGAAUCUUUGAACGCACCUUGCGCUCCUUGGUAUUCCGAGGAGCAUGCCUGUUUGAGUGUCAUUAAAUUCUCAACCCCUCCAGCUUUUGCGAGUUGUGAUGGGGCUUGGAUAUGGGAGUUUGCGGGUCUUUAUCAAUAAAGGUCAGCUCUCCUGAAAUGCAUUAGCGGAACCGUUUGCAGUCCCGUCACUAGUGUGAUAAUUAUCUACACUGUGAUGAUUGCUCUCUGACUAGUUCAGCUGCUAAUCGUCCACUAUGGACAAUACUUAAUGAACUUCUUGACCUCAAAUCAGGUAGGACUACCCGCUGAACUUAA